GAUGAACGCUAGCGAUAGGCCUAACACAUGCAAGUCGAGGGGUAGCACAGAGUAGCAAUACUUGGGUGACGACCGGCGCACGGGUGAGUAACACGUAUGCAACCUACCUAUAACAGGGAGAUAACCCGGAGAAAUCCGGACUAAUACCCCAUAACACAGGGAUGCCGCAUGGCAAUAUUUGUUAAAGAUUAAUCGGUUAUAGAUGGGCAUGCGUUCCAUUAGCCAGUUGGUGAGGUAACGGCUCACCAAAGCAACGAUGGAUAGGGGAACUGAGAGGUUUGUCCCCCACACUGGAACUGAGACACGGACCAGACUCCUACGGGAGGCAGCAGUGAGGAAUAUUGGUCAAUGGGCGAGAGCCUGAACCAGCCAAAUCGCGUGAAGGAAGACUGCCCUACGGGUUGUAAACUUCUUUUAUAGGGGAAUAAAAAAGGGAACGAGUUCCCUAUUGUAUGUACCCUAUGAAUAAGCAUCGGCUAACUCCGUGCCAGCCGCCGCAGUAACAC
rnacentral:rRNA from 1 species